rnacentral:rRNA from 1 species
AGAGUUUGAUCAUGGCUCAGAACGAACGUUGGCGGCGUGGAUUAGGCAUGCAAGUCGAACGAGAACCGGGUAGCAAUACCCGGGGAAAGUGGCGAAAGGGGCAGUAAGGCGUGGGUAACCUACCCUGGGGUUGGGUAUAGCCGGUCUAACGACCGGGUAAUCCCCAGCGACGUCAUUCGGGGGCAUCUCCGGUUGACCAAAGAUUUAUCGCCCCGGGAGGGGCCCACGUGAUAUUAGCUUGUUGGUGGGGUAACGGCCCACCAAGGCAAAGAUGUCUAGCGGGUGUGAGAGCACGACCCGCGCCACUGGCACUGAGACACUGGCCAGACUCCUACGGGAGGCUGCAGUCGAGGAUCUUCGGCAAUGGGCGCAUGCCUGACCGAGCGACGCCGCGUGUGCGAUGAAGGCCUUCGGGUUGUAAAGCACUGUCGAGGGGGAGGAAGCCGAAAGGUUGACCUAUCCCUGGAGGAAGCACGGGCUAAGUUCGUGCCAGCCGCCGCGGUAAUAC